AGUACUAAGCCGGAUUAACGGAUAACAUUGAUGUCGUUAAACAUGAAUAAACUUCUAGUACUU
rnacentral:tRNA from 1 species